GCCUCCCGCCUAGCGGGAGGUUCUCGAAAGCUUAUAGCUUUGCCUAUGUUGUAAAAACUCCUUUUGAUUUGUUAGCAUUGGCCUGCGGCCUGGCAACUGCAGUCCAUAACAAAUCAAAAG
rnacentral:sRNA from 1 species